rnacentral:rRNA from 1 species
CGUCAAGUCAUCAUGGCCCUUACGACUAGGGCUACACACGUGCUACAAUGGUCGGUACAGAGGGAAGCCAAGCCGCGAGGUGGAGCUAAUCCCACAAAACCGAUCGUAGUCCGGAUCGGAGUCUGCAACUCGACUGCGUGAAGUCGGAAUCGCUAGUAAUCGCGAAUCAGAAUGUCGCGGUGAAUACGUUCCCGGGCCUUGUACACACCGCCCGUCACACCAUGGGAGUGGGUUGCAAAAGAAGUAGGUAGUCUAACUUCGGGAGGACGGU